rnacentral:rRNA from 1 species
AUGGAAGGGAAUGAAGGGCCACCAACAGCAGCUCCCUCCGGUCUUCUCCCACCAUGGAAGGCAUCCAUGGAAGCCGCCGCCGCUGCUCCGACUCCGCUGCCAACGCCCCAUGGAGACUCUGCUCUGUCUCGUGUCCUGCGUGUCCUGGCCAUCAAACCAAUUACCCUGAGAUUCUCGCUUAGAGAUACCAAGCUUGUUCUCCGAGAGUUCGAGAAAUGUGGCGUUAUAUUGAGACAUCUCUCUCGACCAAGAGAGGCUACCGAAACGCCAGAACUGCUCUCUUUGAUGGCAUUAAAGAAGGUGGAAUACGAGUACCAGCUUAUUCUUCACAUGAGAAUGAGUGAGCUAUGGAUGGAUUCCAAGAUCGAGUCAACAUUCUCAAGAGGGGGUGAUCGACGCUACCUAGCGCAGCCCGGUGGGCGAUGUGCUCUUCAACCCGGUGAAGCUUGGCGGCCACGUCGCACAGACGAUCGUCCAGUUGAUCGUGACGCCGAAGGUCGCCGAGGUGGAGGACCUCGACGCCACCGUCCGGGGGGAGGGAGGAUUCGGGUCCACUGGCGCCUG